rnacentral:misc_RNA from 1 species
CAGAGUUGCAAGACUCCCUAAAACCAUUGUGAACCUACCUUCUACCGUUGCUUCGGCGGGCGGGCCCAGCGCCCCCCCGGCCCCCCCGCGGGCGCCCGCCGGAGGAUACCCAAACUCUUGACAUUAGUGGCCUCUCUGAGUAUUCUUUACUGAAUAAGUCA